UAAUAGGGGUGCCUUUUCCCGUUCAUUCGGGAUGAAAUACAGGCUGAGAUUAUACCCAUAGAACCUGAUGCAGGUAAUGCUGACGCAGGGACGUGGUGGUCU
rnacentral:ncRNA from 1 species